UCUACUCAUUGCUUUACAGAUACAGCCAAGUUGCUUUCUUUACCAAAAUGUUGGUAUGUUUCCCCUGCUUCCCAAGAGAAUUCGGACAAUGCUAACUGUUCAAGACAUAGUCUCCGGGCUAAAGAUUUCGAUGGAUGGACAUGAUAUCUCUCUCACCAUGUGAUGGAACUGGCUGCUCCCUGAUGCGAGAUAAAAGGAUGGAAACUUGAUCAGUGGCCAUGUCCAGCCUUUCUUUUGACUUGGAAGAUUCAGUUAUUAGAGUUGAUACCAUGUUCUGCAAUAACUGCAUUCUUUCUCUAUGAACAUUUGGAGAAUUGUGAAGAAGUUUUGCUGGGGAUGUGCUGAUCCUACGCCAACGGAAGGGGAGAUACCUUUCUGGAAUCUGAAAACAAUUUCCUGUGGAAAGAACUCGGAAAGCAUGCCGACAGAGAAUUCCAGAGAACUCAAACUGAUGGCAGCUGCAACUAAUGAUGCCUUCCCUAGGAACCCAAUAUACUUUACGGCCUCCCUCAAGUUUUGUGUGGUGUCUCACAAGAAAGCCAUCUUCCACCUGGAAUGAUGCAUAGUGGGCAGCCAAAACAAGUUGUUCCUGGAGCUUAG
rnacentral:misc_RNA from 1 species